AUGUGCUUCUCCACCAGAAUCAAUUCCCGAGCUGUUGAUAUCCCCUAUUCCUCUAAGGAUAUGCCCAUGGUGAAGCAAAAAAAAUCAAGCUCUAUAAGCUCCGCAGCCUCAAGGCCAAUCCCCAGGUUGAUGCCACCGCUACUGACUUUGCCACAUCCCUAUUACAGUUUAAUUUUUAAUUUAUUAGAGAAACUGGAUCAGUGCUUGGGGCUGGUGUGCUACGGUUGGUUUAGGCAUGUGUCCAACAAGGCGGCGGCCACUAUAAGAUACUCUCCUGAGUUAGGACGGGUUUCGAAUUUGCUGCUAUUAUGA
rnacentral:rRNA from 1 species